GAGUUUGAUCAUGGCUCAGGAUGAACGCUAGCGACAGGCUUAACACAUGCAAGUCGAGGGGCAGCGGGGGAGUAGCAAUACUCCCGCCGGCGACCGGCGCACGGGUGAGUAACACGUAUGAAACCUGCCCGUAGCAGGGGGAUAAGCGGAAGAAAUUCCGUCUAAUACCGCGUAACAACCCUUGGAGGCAUCUCCCCGGGGUUUAAAGGAAGCGAUUCCGGCUACGGAUGGUCAUGCGUCGCAUUAGCUAGUUGGCGGGGUAACGGCCCACCAAGGCGACGAUGCGUAGGGGUUCUGAGAGGAAGGUCCCCCACACUGGUACUGAGACACGGACCAGACUCCUACGGGAGGCAGCAGUGAGGAAUAUUGGUCAAUGGCCGCAGGGCUGAACCAGCCAAGUCGCGUGAGGGAUGACGGUCCUAUGGAUUGUAAACCUCUUUUGUCAGGGAGCAAAGGACGCCACGUGUGGCGUUUUGCGAGUACCUGAAGAAAAAGCAUCGGCUAACUCCGUGCCAGCAGCCGCGGUAAUACGGAGGAUGCGAGCGUUAUCCGGAUUUAUUGGGUUUAAAGGGUGCGCAGGCGGAAUGUCAAGUCAGCGGUAAAAUUUCGGGGCUCAACCCCGUCGUGCCGUUGAAACUGGCGUUCUUGAGUGAGCGAGAAGUAUGCGGAAUGCGUGGUGUAGCGGUGAAAUGCAUAGAUAUCACGCGGAACUCCGAUUGCGAAGGCAGCAUACCGGCGCUCAACUGACGCUCAUGCACGAAAGCGUGGGUAUCGAACAGGAUUAGAUACCCUGGUAGUCCACGCAGUAAACGAUGAAUACUAACUGUCCGGGCCGAUUGAGGUCUGGGUGGUACAGCGAAAGCGUUAAGUAUUCCACCUGGGGAGUACGCCGGCAACGGUGAAACUCAAAGGAAUUGACGG
rnacentral:rRNA from 1 species